UAUGAAGAUUAUAUAAAAUUAUGUCGACUUUGACUUCUCUGUAUUCAGUAUUGUGUUCUUGUGUAAUUGUGUCUUGAUUCUUGCAAAGUUUUCUUUUCAAAGUUCUGGAUUUAAUAUAUUGUAAAAUAGAUGUGUAAAUUAUUAAAUUAAAUAAGGGAUAAGAUAAGAUUUGUCACAUCUGUUAUAUCGCUAUAAUGCUUUAUGUAUACUUUAAAACAUGUUGGAUUAUAAUAUUACCGUGUAUACAACUUAAUAGUUCGGCUAUUUUGAAAACUUAAAUUUUUAAAACCAAACCUUUAGUUACAACAACUCAUGAGCAUCAUCUAGCUGAACCACACAAAUUUGCGUACAAGAAGUAUCUGAAAUUGAUCAUAAUAUUGGAGUCAGAAUGCCACUUGAGAAAACUAUAAAGAACUUACGUAGUUUCUGUCAAAGAUCCAUUGGAUUCAAAAACAAUAAAAGAAUGUGAAGUUUUAGGUGAGUGGAGUACAAACUGGCCAAUCUCACUAUAAGCAAUUAAUUCUUGAUGAUAAUGGAACAUUGGAAUUGAAGCAUCUGAACGGGUCAUUUUGUUUGUUACUAAGGAAUAUUUAAAACUAACGUUUAGCAGAUGCUUCGAGGAGGUAUAUGAAUGGUAAUUUUUCAUUUGCUCCAAGGCAAUUCCAACAUUAUGUGAUCUGAAUAGUAGUCAAUACAAUUUUUAUGAUUGCUAUGUAUUGUCUUCAACAAAAUAAAACGUUAGCAUAUGAAUAUUAUAUGCUAUGAACUUAAUGAAAAAAAAAAUGUUAAGAAAAAAUAUUAUAUUAACAUUAUUUAUCUACAGCUAAUAAUAUAUUAUUAGAUAUUAUACUCAUAGUUUUAAGAUUUAUAUUUAUAUUUAUAUUUAAAUUC